GUACCAUCAGCAUCCAAAUUUUCAAGUAUACAGAAAUUUAACUUUCCGGAAUAUAACGGAAAUUUUCGGGUAUCUCCGUGGUACCAUCUCCGUGCAAUUAUGCAGUAUGGCGUUCAUCUCUUACAGAAAGAGAAUGGUAACUUGAUACACUGUGUUGUGUGUGGAUAAGAAAUGCAGAGUGGUACCACCAAUCACCUAAGCCACCAUUCCCCUAACAGACAAAAGGCUCAUGGGGACAGUUCCUGCAGUUUACAGCAAAUUGUAGCCCUACAAACUUCAGAUACUGCCAAGCUUGGGUGCACUGGGCCGGUUAUCCAGCCGUGUGGAAUCAACAUCUCCAGCUGAACUUGGGCCGGGAAUUAUAUAAGAAUCCUUAGCAGCAUGAGUGCCAGCCAGUCAUUGCUGUUCUUUGCAUUCUCGACUUUCCAAUAGACCAUAAUCCUUUGCGGCAUGGUGACUUCCGGUUUAUUUCCGGGUUAUGACGGAUUACAGUAACAGCGAUAAAUACGGACAAAUUAUCAUUCCAGAUAUGAUUCAAAUAUGCUGAUGUUACCUUCUGAGAUCAUUACUUUCAAUGAAGAACAUCACUACAAUUGGUUGGGCUGCUAGAUUGGUAGCAACGUGAUGGACAGCUAGUACCUGACAUGCUAUUGUUGGUUUGGCAUCUAUUGCUUACUGGGCCGCUAUAUUGGAUGGACCAUACGUGUUGGUUGAACAAUUAUAAAUGGUUGGACUGGAAGUGUUGGUUGGACCACCAGUGUUGUUUGGACUGCUUGUUGGACAGAAUGUGUGAUAGACAACUAGUGUUAUUUGAAUCACUGUUGGGUCAUAUUGGUUUGAUUCCCAUUGCUAGUACUUGUUGGAUCUCUUUUGUUGGUUGAACUGUUGUUUUUUGACUGUUAUUAUUGAUAUUCAUACAUGUAUAAUAUGUUAAGUGCUUAGUAUUCAACACUUAUUAUUAUUAUUGUUAUCAUAAGAAAUAUUAUUAUUCAAAAAUCAUAUAAAUAUAUAAAAUUAAAUAUUUUUUAUGUCCUUGUACUUUAGUUAUGUUUUACAUUUACAAUGUGCAUCAUAAUGUCUUAUUAUAUGAACAACUCUUUUUAUAGAUA